rnacentral:rRNA from 1 species
UAUACGGAUUAUUGGGCUUAAGGGCAUCUAGGCGGCCCUAUAAGUCUAGGGUGAAAACCUGCGGCUCAACCGCAGGCCUGCCCCGGAAACUAUAGGGCUGGAGUACUGGAGAGGUGGACGGAACUACACGAGUAGAGGUGAAAUUCGUAGAUAUGUGUAGGAAUGCCGAUGAUGAAGAUAGUUCACUGGACGGUAACUGACGCUGAAGUGCGAAAGCUGGGGGAGCAAACAGGAUUAGAUACCCUGGUAGUCCCAGCCGUAAACGAUGAUUACUGGGUGUGGGCAUGAAGAGUGUCCGUGCCGAAGCAAAUGCGAUAAGUAAUCCGCCUGGGGAGUACGGCCGCAAGGCUGAAACUCAAGGAAAAUUGACGGG